rnacentral:rRNA from 1 species
UACAGAGGGUGCGAGCGUUGUCCGGAAUUAUUGGGCGUAAAGAGCUCGUAGGCGGUGUGUCGCGUCGGUCGUGAAAACUUGGGGCUUAACUCUGAGCUUGCGGUCGAUACGGGCAUCACUGGAGUUCGGCAGGGGAGACUGGAAUUCCUGGUGUAGCGGUGAAAUGCGCAGAUAUCAGGAGGAACACCGGUGGCGAAGGCGGGUCUCUGGGCCGAUACUGACGCUGAGGAGCGAAAGCGUGGGGAGCGAACAGGA